GACUUUGAUGAAGAUGGUUUAAUAUCUGAUGAAGAUAUUAAAGAACUGCUCAACCGCCUUUCAGGUGAUAAACUGCGUCGGCUGGAGAUUGAUCAAUUAUACGAGCAAUUAUUGGAUGAAGGCGAUCGAGAUGAAGAUGGAUGUUUCAGUCUUGCUGAAUUUAAAGAUAUGAUUGAGAAUUCAGAAGAUUUUAUGUGCACAUUCAGGAUGCCAAUGCCUUAAAUCUGAUGGUCAUGAAAAUAAAUUCUGCAAGAUAGCUUUCACAGCUGCUGAAAAGAAUGUGAUGCAUUACUGUACUUGUUAGCUCAUUGAUUCUAGGUUAUAAAAUAAAUUUUAUACAAGUUUUUCCUGUUUA